ACUUGUCAAAGAAUGAAAAGAAUAGCUUGGGCUUUUGUCUUUGUGGGCCUCGAAGCCUCAACCAUGCUGCCAGCACUAUCCUACACCACCCUUCUCCUUAUCCUUCACCACAUCUGCCCAACAAGAUCAGCAACCAACAUCAACAACUGCAGCACCACAACACCUAAUGAAACCCAACACAACCAUCCCCCACACCUGCAGACACGCGACACCACCCACAACACCAAUACAACACAACAACGUCAAUUACGCAGCAACCCACUUAUCAUUCGCACACCAAUAACACAACAAUUCAGCCCAAAAUCACCCAAAAAAAGAAGCAAGAAACAGAGAGAAAAACAGAGCAUUGAGUUCGACCGAACCCGUACUAAGUUCGACCGAACCGAAAAUUUAGAGUUCCUGAUUGUAGGUGGUUCGGUCGAACCUCAAUGGAGUUCGCCCAAAUCGACAAAAGUUCGUCCGGACCUUCUACUAGUUCGCCCGAACCCAUUUUGCCCUCAAAUUGGUACGGAAUUAAUAAAAGCUCAUGGUUGUCACGUGGUUUUUGCCUUUGUGGUUCGUUGUUGGUGGCUUGGAUUACCGUCGUACACCGUCAAUUGAAAGGGCUGCGAUUUCAAGGUUUCGAUCAACGGCUGAUGAUCGAUGAUGGUAGAUGUUGGAUGGUGCUGAUGAUGACGAUUAAUGAUGGACGGUGAUGAUGAUAGUUUUUGAUGAUGAUUGACGGUCUUGAUGAUGGUUGAUGAUUAAGGAUGGUGAUCUUUGGUAGAGGAGCGAAGGAGUGAAGCUGCGAAGGGGACGAGACAGGGAACAUGAAGAGGGAUUUUCUUCCCUUUGGGGCUUUUGAAUUCAAGUGUGGCAAUUUUAUUCAAGAUUUCCACCAUUAAUCAAUGAGAAAUUUCUUACUCUCUCUCCUCAUUUAUUUAUUUAUUUAUUGUUUUCAUUUAUUUGUUUAAUUAGUUUAAUGGUUUUUGUUUUGUUUAAUGAUUCAUGUUUAAAUUAGUUGUUAUUAAUGUUUAGAAUCAUGUUUUUAGUUGUUAAUUUCGUUAAAUUUCAUAUUUUUAGGAUUAUGAAGUAGUUUAUUGAUUAGGGUUUGGUGAAAACUCAAAAUUGAUUGGUUUGGGUGUUUGUGAUUGAAAAUUAGGGAUUUUCAUGAUUAAAUUAUUGCAUGUUUAGGCAUUUCCAAUACAUGUUGCAUUUAACUUGAUCAAUUAAGUGUUCCAUGAUUGCUUGGAGUACUCUAGUUGGGUUGGAAAGGGAUUAAAGACCUAAGCUUGGCUAUGUUAUUGAAUUGGGAUUUUGAUUUACCCCGAGUGUGAUAGGGUAGAACGGGAGUCCAUCCUUGAUGCUUAGGGAAAUUGUUCGCGCAUCGGGAGAUGGUUGGAACUAUUUGUGAAUUCAACGCUUAUUCACGUAGUGCUUGUGAAUCUUCCCCGUUUUCAAUUGUCUUAUGUCCAUCCCGUGAUUUGUUGUUGUUUGACCCAUUCCCUAAUCUCGUUUACUUUUGAUUUCUUAGUUUAAUUUAAUUAGUUCUAUUCUAUUAGUGAUUUUUCAAAACCUCGUUUCGACCUAGCUUGUUGUCCGAUUAGCAUAAAUUAGCGCACCUUAGUCCUUGUGGAUUCCGACCCUUUCUUACCGCUUUACUUGUGUUUAGUGGUUAGUUUCGGUAAUUUGUUUGAUUAGGAGAAACUAGUAACGACCUAGUUUUCCCCUCGAUCAACGGCUGCACGAACGAAGGCGAGGCGAGGGUGCACGAGUGUGUGCGGCUGGGCGGAUAGCGAGCAAGGCACGAGUGGCGUGCUUGCUUGUGGUCGAAGAAAACGGGCAAGAGGAGAGAGAAAGAGCCGAAAAUAAGAGAGAGAGAGAGAGAGAGAGAGAGAGAGAAAAGAAUUCUGAAUUUUUGUGAGGGAUUUUUGAAAGGGUGGGUUGUAUUUAUAGUUUUUCCUUCCCUAAUGGGCUAGGUUUUAGGGUUUUGAGUUGGGCUUGCUAAGGGGUUUAAUUAAAAUUAGUUUCUUGCAAGCCUUGCUGGGUUUGCCGAUGGAAUUAGGUUGGGCUUGGAUUAGAAAUAAAAUAGUUUUCGAAAUACUACCCAGCAAUUCCCGAAUAAAUAAAAUUCGUUUAAUUUAUUUAAUAAAAUCCGGUUUUCAUAAAUAAUUAAUACUUCCUCCGUUCCGGAAAUAUCGCACCAUGGUUGACUUUUACUCCUCUAACCAUUACUUUGACUCUUAAUAUCUCAAAUCGUGUGCAAGUAAAAAUUAUAAAAAAUUAAUAUUUAGAAAAUAUAUAUCGAUACGAAUCUAACAUGACACCACAUGACUAAAAUUUCCUUACGUACGAAUCACAAAAAAUGGCCAAAGUCGUAGUGUGAAUAGUGUAAAAAACAAAUGGGCGAUAUUUCCGGAACGGAGGAAGUAAUUAAAUUAUUUAAAAAUAAAAUACAUUUAAAUCACAUUAAAUGCAAUUAAAUUCAUAAAAAUCUUUAUAAAUACAAUAAAAUAUAUUUAUAAAUUACGAAAAACACGAGGUAUUACAGUAUGUAUACUGAAUUAUGUUAAUUGACUAUGUGGCAGUUAAUUUGGAUUCCUGCCUUUUAUGGUUUUUCGACAUGAAUUAUAUUGUUCAUAACCCUACACUUACGUAGUCGCUUAAGAGGAGAUUUUUGAAAGAAAAAUGGGAAGCAUUAAAUUCAAAAAAUUGAGGUUAGCAAUGAAAGAAAGAGCGAAUAAAUCCUUCGAAAUUUUUUAGCUCGACCGACUGUUUCAAUCGCUCAGACAUCCAUCCCCUUCGCCCGCCCCAGUCAUUCACAUGAGCAUAGAAAUAUCUAUACUCGAGCGUUCAUCCAAGCCCCUGGCCUAGAAGGACCUUCGUGCCAUUUUAUUGGAUGACUUCAGUGGAGUCGCGUGGUCAAGCGUUGAGUCGGCUAGAAAACAUGCAUCUCCCAUUUCUUCAUAUUGCUGGCGGAACUCGCAUGAGUUUACCUUCGUACGUAUAGACUGUCCAUUUCAAUAAAGAUACACCAUUAAGAGAGGGAAUAGCCUUUACUUUUUAUUUCUCGUACUUUUCUAAUUAGCAACCUGCAGACCCGACCGGGCGAAGGACGCUACUAUUACAAAAACUGGAUUAAAGAACGCUUGAUAGAGAAUGGUUAAGUUAGAUAGGCGUUUUCUGCAAUUAUAAAUGAUGCCUCACUUAGGUAACCGUUAUCUAAAAUGCAUAAAACGAAACUCUUCCCUCCCACACCGUUUUCUAUUCCUAACCCAUAUUUUAAUCAAAUCUAUUUUUAUAAUCAUGAAACGCACAUAGAAUGCCUUACUAACCUAGGCGUAUUGCACCAAAUAUUUUGUGUGAUGUCAUUACCCUCCCCCUCCUUUUUCUCUCCUCUUUCUUCUAUUUACCCACAAAAAAAUAAUAUUAACAUCUUAAAACUCUAGAUUCUCCAGUAGCAUUGGAGGCCUUGGUGAUAGAUUAAGCUCAUGAAAUCUGGAAUUAAAGCAUGGUCUUUUAAGCUUUUGAAUUAAUGGCAUUGCAAAUGAUGUUUACGAGGAUAAAUUGAUCACCCACUGUAGCCUGAUGGCACCAACGGAUCUGAAGAUUGUAACAAGAAGUUAGGGAGCAUCUAUAUUAUUGAGGAUGAUAGAACUGACAAAUCUGAAGAUCUUCAAGAGAUUUAUCAAGAACGGAGAAUGAUUGCUAGAAGACCAACACUAUUUUUCCAAUUAUUAUUGUUCGUCAUCCUUGUUUCUACUGUGUUUGAUUGUAAUUCAGGACUAAUAUUGUUGUGGGAGUUUUUCCUUGGAUGAUGACGAGGAGGUAUCAGGUUCCACGUAGUGUCGAGUCCAGUCCACGUCGGCGGCGUACCUACAAAACAAGAAUAUUCCCGAAGGAAUAUUCCCUCCGAUGCUUAAGUAAGACACGGGUUUUUAGGAAGAUGUAAUUAAUAAACAUAAAGCAUUAAAGUAAGUAGUGGAAUGUUUCUCUAUCUGAAUUGUGUGUCAAUUCCUUGGGAAUUGAGUAUAUUUAUAGUCUCCCCCUUUUGGGGGGAAACCCUAGGGUAAUCUCAUAUGAUUGGCUAGUUUAUCAGAUAA